rnacentral:rRNA from 1 species
GCCUGAAUACCAGUGUGAACACCCCGGCAGUCAGACUACGUGGGAUAAGCUGCGUGGUCAAAAGGGAAACAGCCCAGAUCGACUGCUAAGGUCCCUAAAUUUCAGCUAAGUGGUAAAGGAAGUCAGAAUUCUUAGACAGCCAGGAGGUUGGCUUAGAAGCAGCCACCCUUAAAAGAGUGCGUAAUAGCUCACUGGUCGAUGUUUUCUGGCGCCGAAAAUGUAGCGGGGCUCAAGCUGAAUACCGAAGCAUCGGAUUGUUCCGUAAGGAAUAGUGGUAGGGGAGCGUUCUGUACGCCUGUGAAGCCGUAUCGUGAGAAGCGGUGGAGGUAUCAGAAGUGCGAAUGCCGGCAUGAGUAGCGUAAAGAGAUGUGAGAAUCAUCUCCGCCGAAAGCCUAAGGUUUCCUGGGCCAGGGUUUUCCACCCAGGGUUAGGCGGGACCUAAGUCGAGGUCGAGAGACGUAGAUGAUGGACAGCCGGUUAAGAUUCCGGCCCCACGGCAACUUGUUUGAUCAAUGGAGUGACGCAGAAAGAUAGCACUAGCGGCGUGUGGUUGUGCCGCGCUAAGCGUGUAGGGUGACAGGAUAGGCAAAUCCGUUCUGUUAAGCCUGAGGCGUGAUAGGGACCGAACUAAGUAGGGAACUGUGUGUGUCUACGCUGCCGAGAAAAACUUCUAGGUAGAGUUGUCGUGCCCGUACUGAAACCGACACUGGUGGGCAAGUAGAAUAUACUAUGGCGGCGGGUGAAGCCUUCUUAAGGAACUCGGCAAAUUAGCCCCGUAACCUAGGGAAAAGGGGUGCCUCUGAUGGUGAAAGAUUUACUCUGUAAGCUAUUGGAGGUCGCAGUGAAAGGGCUCAAGCGACUGUUUAACAAAAACACAGGUCUCUGCCAAGCCGCAAGGCGACGUAUAGGGGCUGACUCCUGCCCGGUGCUGGAACGUUAAGGGGAGGGCUCAGGGGUAACCCGAAGGCUUAAACCGAAGCGCCAGUAAACGGCGGCCGUAACUAUAACGGUCCUAAGGUAGCGAAAUUCCUUGUCGGGUAAGUUCCGACCCGCACGAAUGGAGUAACGACUUGAGCACUGUCUCGAGAAGGGGCCCGGCGAAAUUGCAUUACCUGUGAAGAUGCAGGUUACCCGCAGCAAGACGGAAAGACCCCGUGGAGCUUUACUGUAGCUUGAUGUUGAUUUUUGGUUCGUUCUGUACAGGAUACGUGGGAGACUUUGAUGGUGCUACGCCAGUAGUAUCGGAGUCAUCGUUGGGAUACCACGCUGGACGGGCUGGAAAUCUAACCUGGAGUGUAAUCCACUCC